CUUAGGCUAGAGUAGCUGAGGGACAGUAGAGGACCUAGCGUAGCUUAGCUUAGGCUAGAGUAGCUGGGGGACCUUAGAGGACCUAGCUUAGCUUAGCUUAGCUUAGCUUAUGCUAGACUAGCUGAGGUUAGGGAGGCAGCCA